AGAAGAUGAGCUCAUGAGAAUCCUCAUUCUUGUCCGGAAUUUCUUGCCUGGACACCAUCAGGUUAUUAGUGGGGAGUGGAAUGUUGCAGGUAUUGCUUACAGAGCUUAUGAUCUUGAAGGCAAGACAGUGGGAACUGUUGGUGCUGGACGUAUUGGUAGGCUUUUGCUCCAGCGAUUGAAGCCUUUCAACUGUAAUCUCCUCUAUCAUGAUCGGAUUAAAAUGGACCCAGAAUUGGAGAAUCAGAUAGGAGCAAAGUUUGAAGAGGAUGUUGAUGUGAUGCUUCCCAAAUGUGACAUAAUUGUCAUCAACAUGCCUCUUACUGAAAAAACAAAGUAACGAUUUCAUCUCAUAUUUGAUCUGGCUGAUUUGUUCUCAUCUAAAAAUUAACUUUUUAGCCAAACAUAGGAUCAGUUCAUGUGGAGCAAAUUAUUUUAAUGAGUUGUGGAUAUAUCUUCCAAUUUCUUUACAUAGAAAUAUGGGAGUUGUCUCUUUGUAGCUGCAACAAAUGUUGACAGCAAAUUGAGGGAACUCUUGGAUUCACCACAAAAAGAGUAUAAUAUUGUUGAAACUAGGCUACAAUCUAUGUUAGGGGUAAUGGCCCAAUGAUUAUAAGCUCAGGGAGGGCCAUCAACUGUGUCAUCAGCUUUUAUCAAAACUAGUGUUUUUAUUUGUUUGAGUGCUGUUGAUUAGGGUGUUCAGGACCAUGAACGUUGACAGUCAUACUGUUUGGGGAAGUUAACCAUAUUGUUCAAAUUUCCUAAUUCUCAAAGUGCUCCUUCACUAAUGACCCAAAUGUUCUUAUUCCAUGUUUAGCCCAAUGACUGUUUUAGUAUGGUUUGCAGCAGCAGCUGACUGGUUCACUACUACUGAUUCAAACAUACAUUUCUUGAAUCCACAAGUACCCUAGUAGGAAGCUAGUUGCCCCCUUUCAUAUACCAUUUGCUUGAAUCUAGCAUGGCAAUUCUACAAAAUUUGUGUUGUUGAACCCUAAAUUAUCAGAAUUUUGAUCUUGUAAUUCAGAGGAAUGUUCAACAAAGAGAGGAUUGCA
rnacentral:lncRNA from 1 species